AGAGUUUGAUCCUGGCUCAGAAUCAACGCUGGCGGCGCGCCUAACACAUGCAAGUCGAACGAGAAAGUGGAGCAAUCCAUGAGUAAAGUGGCGUACGGGUGAGUAACACGUGGAUAAUCUGCCCUUUAGUGGGGAAUACCGCUGGGAAACCGGCGACAAUACCGCAUAAGCUCGAGAGAGGAAAGCAGCAAUGCGCUGAAGGAGGAGUCCGCGGCAGAUUAGCUAGUUGGUAGGGUAAUGGCCUACCAAGGCUGUGAUCGGUAGCCGGCCUGAGAGGGCACACGGCCACACUGGCACUGAAACACGGGCCAGACUCCUACGGGAGGCAGCAGUGGGGAAUCUUGCACAAUGGGGGCAACCCUGAUGCAGCGACGCCGCGUGAGCGAUGAAGCCCUUCGGGGUGUAAAGCUCUUUCGGCAGGGACGAUUAUGACGGUACCUGCAGAAG
rnacentral:rRNA from 1 species